rnacentral:lncRNA from 1 species
GAGAGCUCUAGCUAAUAAUUAUCCUGUACUUAGUUGACUCUGUACAUAGUAUGUUAGGGAGUUACAACUGUUUCAGACCUGGACAAUAAGCAUUAGGUUGAAAUUAUUUCACCAUGUCAAUUGUGGUACAUGGGCCCCCUCUUGUAUUUACCCAAGGCAGAAAAAGAUCAGUGAUCAGAAUCCCUAGAGGUCAGAGCAGUGACAGACCAGCAAAGACAGCGGAGAUCCAACAGUUUUUUCAUAUAGUGUCCAUUCUACUUACUUAUGAAGCCAGCACGUAUCUAAGUAACCCACCCAGCAUCCCCACCCCAUCCCCAGUUCUGGGAAAGGAUUACAAUUAUAGGUACAGACGAAAAGGAAAUGCAAAGUUAAUUAUGGGUUAUGUAUUUAAGCAGAGGCUCUGUCACUGCAAGAUCCAAUCACUGCCCAGGGGCCCAAAAGCCAGCAACACAGGUUAUAUUCACAUAGCUCCCCAAAGACUUUCAAAGGGAGCUGCGGAAGGUGCUAGAAAUAUCCAGGGGUCCACAAUUGCUUACCUGUAGCUCACCCUCUGGAGAAGGGGAAAAGAAAAAGCCAUUCUAGCUGCCACAUUUUCUGCUCCUGUUCCCCCACCCCAUCACAUCCUUCUCUCUAUCCCUCUUUCUCCAAAAUGGCUUCAACAUGACCCCCAACCCAAAACUACCCUCAGGCUGAGCAUUAGCUACGCACAAAGCUCCCCCUUUCCCAAGUCUUCAACUUGGGAAAGUUCAUGAGUUGGCUAACUGUUUGUUGGAAUAUGAAGGAUAAAGAUGAGGUCAGAGGUGGCCUGCAGAACCAGUUCAAAUUGGCAGGGUCUUUCUUUAUUCUUCCUGCAUCUGAAAGGACUCUGAGUAACUAUUUCCAACGUGGAGGUAGGAGAGAAGUCUUGCUUAAAUGUGUGCAUUGGGACAGGACUGGACAGAUAGGGACAAGACGGUUACCAUCCCAAAGAGAACACUUAGAAACCAGAACUAGGUGAGGACGACCUCUCAGAAGCUCACACAAGUGUAUAAGCCAUUGGCAUGUCUGUUGACUUAGAUUACAUAUGCUUAGUGGAACUCCAUUCACUGUGACCCGAACUUGAAAAAUCCUCCACCCCCCGAAAAAAGCUGCCUGGGUGAUUGGUUGAUGUUUAGGGUGGUAGGACUGAAUUUUCAAUGCAUUUGUCCAACAGAGAGCUGUUAAUCAAAAUCAGGUUCAUUUAACCUUAUUAACUCUUCAGCUUUCUUCUCUCCACCCCACUUAAAAACAGGGACUGUGGUUUAAUUAUACACUUUUCGGAUGUCACUGUUGAACUCUAUAGACAGAGCACUAAUCAUGGGUCUGACCUGCAUCAUCAUCUUCUGCCUGGACUUUUGUGAUAGACUUUUUGAGGAAAAAAAAAUCAUACUUUUUGUUUAAUUAUGAAAGUCUCACACAGGUAUUGUAGAAAAUUUAGGGGGAAAAAGAAAAAGA